rnacentral:rRNA from 1 species
CCUACGGGCGGCUGCAGUGGGGAAUUUUGGACAAUGGGGGCAACCCUGAUCCAGCAAUGCCGCGUGAGUGAAGAAGGCCUUCGGGUUGUAAAGCUCUUUUGUCAGGGAAGAAACGGUGAGGGCUAAUAUCCUUUGCUAAUGACGGUACCUGAAGAAUAAGCACCGGCUAACUACGUGCCAGCAGCCGCGGUAAUACGUAGGGUGCAAGCGUUAAUCGGAAUUACUGGGCGUAAAGCGUGCGCAGGCGGUUAUACAAGACAGAUGUGAAAUCCCCGGGCUCAACCUGGGAAUUGCAUUUGUGACUGUAUGGCUAGAGUGUGUCAGAGGGGGGUAGAAUUCCACGUGUAGCAGUGAAAUGCGUAGAUAUGUGGAGGAAUACCGAUGGCGAAGGCAGCCCCCUGGGAUAACACUGACGCUCAUGCACGAAAGCGUGGGGAGCAAACAGGAUUAGAUACCCGAGUAGUC